AUGAAUGGUUGGACGAGAUAUAAUCUGUUUCAUUUAAAAUUAAUUAGAAUUUUAUUUUUUAGUUAAAAAGCUAAAAUAUAUUCAAAAGACGAGAAGACCCUAUAAAUCUUGAUUAUUUAGUAAUUUUUAAUUUAUUUUGAUUUUUUUUAUUAUAAAUUUAUUAAUUAAUUUUAUUGGGGUGAUAUUAAAAUUUAAAUAACUUUUAAUAAUUUUUGUCAUUUAUUUAUGAUUAAGUGAUCCGUUAUUAGUGAUUAAAAAAUUAAGUUACUUUAGGGAUAACAGCGUAAUUUUUUUGGAGAGUUCUUAUCGAUAAAAAAGUUUGCGACCUCGAUGUUGGAUUAAGAUUCAUAUUUAAAUGCAGAAGUUUAAAUAUAAAGUCUGUUCGACUUUUUAUUCUUACAUGAUCUGAGUUCAAACCGGUGUAAGCCAGGUUGGUUUCUAUCUUUGAUUUAAUAAAAUAUUUUAGUACGAAAGGAAUUAAUAUUUAUUUUUAAAAAAUUAAUUUAUGAAUAAAUUUAA
rnacentral:rRNA from 1 species